GACGAACGCUGGCGGCGUGCUUAACACAUGCAAGUCGAACGGAGCGAAUGAAAGCUUGCUUUUAUGAGCUUAGUGGCAAACGGGUGAGUAACACGUAGACAACCUGCCGAUCAGAUGGGGACAACACUCCGAAAGGAAUGCUAAUACCGAAUGAAGUGUGGGGGAGGCAUCUUCCCUACAUGAAAGAUGGCCUCUAUAUAUAAGCUAUCACUGAUCGAUGGGUCUGCGUCUGAUUAGCUAGUAGGUAAGGUAACGGCUUGCCUAGGCGACGAUCAGUAGCCGGUCUGAGAGGAUGAACGGCCACAUUGGGACUGAGACACGGCCCAGACUCCUACGGGAGGCAGCAGUGGGGAAUCUUCCGCAAUGGGCGCAAGCCUGACGGAGCAACGCCGCGUGAGUGAAGAAGGUCUUCGGAUCGUAAAGCUCUGUUGAAGGGGACGAACGUAUAUAGUGCGAAUAGUGCUGUGUAAGACGGUACCU
rnacentral:rRNA from 1 species